AGCCUUGCUUAUACUGACCUAAAAGUACAAGGUCCAGUCCGAUCUUGGAAGAUAAGCAGGUUUAGUCCUGAUUAGCAUUUGGAUAUGAGACCAGCAAUGAAUCCUAGGUGUUGUGGGCU
rnacentral:rRNA from 1 species